UUCGCCCUUAGAGUUUGAUCCUGGCUCAGAGCGAACGCUGGCGGCAGGCUUAACACAUGCGAGUCGAGCGGGCCCUUCGGGGUCAGCGGCAGACGGGUGAGUAACGCGUGGGAACGUGCCCUUCGGUUCGGAAUAACUCAGGGAAACUUGAGCUAAUACCGGAUACGUGCGAGAGCAGAAAGGUUUAUCUGCCGAAGGAUCGGCCCGCGUCUGAUUAGCUGGUUGGUGAGGUUAUGGCUCACCAAGGCGACGAUCAGUAGCUGGUCUGAGAGGAUGAUCAGCCACACUGGGACUGAGACACGGCCCAGACUCCUACGGGAGGCAGCAGAAGGG
rnacentral:rRNA from 1 species